rnacentral:rRNA from 1 species
UGGGGAAUUUUGCGCAAUGGGGGAAACCCUGACGCAGCAACGCCGCGUGGAGGAUGAAGGCCUUUGGGUUGUAAACUCCUGUCAGUGGGGAAGAAAAGUCGCGGGUUAAUACCCCGAGGCUUUGACGGUAUCCGCAGAGGAAGCCCCGGCUAACUCUGUGCCAGCAGCCGCGGUAAUACAGAGGGGGCAAGCGUUAUUCGGAAUUAUUGGGCGUAAAGGGCGCGUAGGCGGCUUGGCAAGUGGAAGGUGAAAUCCCUCGGCUCAACCGAGGAACUGCCCUCCAAACUGCCGAGCUCGAGUCCGGGAGAGGUGAGUGGAAUUCCCAGUGUAGCGGUGAAAUGCGUAGAUAUUGGGAGGAACACCAGUGGCGAAGGCGGCUCACUGGACCGGAACUGACGCUGAGGCGCGAAAGCGUGGGGAGCAA